rnacentral:rRNA from 1 species
UCAUUACAGAGUUAUCCAACUCCCAAACCCAUGUGAACUUAUCUCUUUGUUGCCUCGGCGCAAGCUACCCGGGACCCAGCGCCCCGGGCGGCCCGCCGGCGGACAAACCAAACUCUUGUUAUCUUAGUUGAUUAUCUGAGCGUCUUAUUUAAUAAGUCAAAACUUUCAACAACGGAUCUCUUGGUUCUGGCAUCGAUGAAGAACGCAGCGAAAUGCGAUAAGUAAUGUGAAUUGCAGAAUUCAGUGAAUCAUCGAAUCUUUGAACGCACAUUGCGCCCAUUAGUAUUCUAGUGGGCAUGCCUGUUCGAGCGUCAUUUCAACCCCUAAGCACAGCUUACUGUUGGGACUCUACGGCCUCCGUAGUUCCCCAAAGCGAUUGGCGGAGUGGCAGUAGUCCUCUGAGCGUAGUAAUUUUUUAUCUCGCUUUUGUUAGGUGCUGCCCCCCCGGCCGUUAAACCCCCCCAAUUUUUUCUGGUUGACCUCGGAUCAGGUAGGAAUACCCGCUGAACUUAAGCAUAUCAAUAAGCGGAGGAAAAGAAACCAACAGGGAUUCCCCUAGUAACGGCGAGUGAAGCGGGAACAGCUCAAAUUUGAAAUCUGGCCCUUGGGUCCGAGUUGUAAUUUGUAGAGGAUGCUUUUGGUGCGGUGCCUUCCGAGUUCCCUGGAACGGGACGCCUUAGAGGGUGAGAGCCCCGUACGGUUGGACGCCUAGCCUCUGUAAAGCUCCUUCGACGAGUCGAGUAGUUUGGGGAAUGCUGCUCUAA